rnacentral:rRNA from 1 species
UGCCUAACACAUGCAAGUCGAAUGUGCCGCAAGGUGCAUGGCAGACGGGUGAGUAACGCGUGGGCAAUCUACCUUUUCGUGGGGAAUAACGUUCCGAAAGGAAUGGUAAUACCGCAUGAGACCAUCGGUUGGGAUACGGAUGGUGAAAGCUGGGGACCUUCGGGCCUGGCGCGAGAAGAGGAGCCUGCGUCUGAUUAGCUAGUUGGUGGGGUAAUGGCCUACCAAGGCGACGAUCAGUAGCCGGCCUGAGAGGGUGAUCGGCCACACUGGAACUGAGACACGGUCCAGACUCCUACGGGAGGCAGCAGUGGGGAAUUUUGCGCAAUGGACGAAAGUCUGACGCAGCAACGCCGCGUGGGUGAUGAAGGUCUUCGGAUUGUAAAACCC